GCAAAUAUAGUUCAACAAAAACAUUAGAUUAUGAAUCUAAAUUUAGAAGUUUAAAUCUCCUUGUAUGCC
rfam:Sarcophilus harrisii ctg7180001437474, whole genome shotgun sequence.